rnacentral:rRNA from 1 species
GACGAACGCUGGCGGCGUGCUUAACACAUGCAAGUCGAACGAUGAAGCCGGAGCUUGCUCUGGUGAAUUAGUGGCGAACGGGUGAGUAACACGUGAGUAACCUGCCCUUGACUCUGGGAUAACUGCGGGAAACUGUAGCUAAUACCGGAUACGACCCUCGGAGGCAUCUCCUGGGGGUGGAAAGAAUUUCGGUCAAGGAUGGACUCGCGGCCACUCAGCUAGUUGGUGAGGUAAAGGCUCACCAAGGGGACGACGGGUAGCCGGCCUGAGAGGGUGACCGGCCACACGGGGACUGAGACACGGCCCAGACUCCUACGGGAGGCAGCAGUGGGGAAUAUUGCACAAUGGGCGCAAGCCUGAUGCAGCAACGCCGCGUGAGGGAUGACGGCCUUCGGGUUGUAAACCUCUUUUAGCAGGGAAGAAGCGAAAGUGACGGUACCUGCAGAAAAAGCACCGGCUAACUACGUGCCAGCAGCCGCGGUAA